CCCUCAGAGCCAGUAGGUCUCAAAUGAACUUGGCUCUUGGAUAUGAGCACAUGCUUGAAAUGAGGGGAGGGUGAGAAGGCAGACCUGAGAGGGCGUGUCUAUGCCAUAGGGAGAAAAAAACACUCAAAGAGAAGCCUGCUCCAGACUCAGAAAAGCCAGACCAUUGCACUUUCUGUCCACAUGGCUUCCAAGGCAGAAACCAAGCUUCCAUAUGCCUAUGACAGUUCUUUCCAGAAAAUCCUUCAGUUUCCUCAGAAACCCAGAUUCCCAGGACCUGGUAUAGAUGCACCAACAGGGCAAAGAUCUGGCUUGUGAGAAGUUUCUUUUUGUAAAGUGACUAACCAUACUUCUUCACACUUGUCUCUGUGUGGGUGGGCACCCUGUCCUGGUCCUGGUCAGUUUAAACAAGGGAAGAUCUUGGUGCUCACUCAUCCCAGGUUUCUAAGGCACUUUCUUCUGAUCAUCAUCAUUGAUAAAGAUUUCUGGACCAGUAUUUACUCAUUGCUCAUGGAAUAAUCCAGGCUCCAGAUAUCACUGUUUCCCUGGGUUGAAUACCAGUUGGCUGCACAGUGGUACUGUGGUGAUUCUAUGGAACAACGGCUGCUCCGGCUACUGCCUGUACAAGCUCAAAAGAGGAAGCGAGGACAUCAGCCAUCAUCCUAUUCCAGCAUGACCUCAUCUGAACUUCACAAAUUACAACGGUGGUGACACUGUUUCCAAACAAGGUCACGUACUAGAGGUUAGAAUGCCAAUGUGUCAUUUUACAGGACAAGAUUCAGCUUCUAAUAAUGUACUCCACUCAAAAUGGAGCUCAUGAUCCGCCCUCUUUAGAUUCAUAGAUAGGCAAUGAAUGGCAGCCUUUCCUGAUGCUGUGGGCCCCUGAUCUAUAUAGAACAGGCUAGUCACAAGGCACAUGAAGCUUAUGAUAGGACCCAGAGUCUCUCCAGAAAGUUUCUGCACUCUACCUUAACAGAAAAAUGGGUCUUUUCUCAAGGGAAGCCAAUGUAUUUACUAUUUAGGAGACAGAAGGCUUCUUGACAUUUAAAA